AGAGUUUGAUCCUGGCUCAGGAUGAACGCUGGCGGCGUGCCUAACACAUGCAAGUUGAGCGAUUUACUUCGGUAAAGAGCGGCGGACGGGUGAGUAACGCGUGGGUAACCUACCCUGUACACACGGAUAACAUACCGAAAGGUAUGCUAAUACGGGAUAAUAUAUUUGAGAGGCAUCUCUUGAAUAUCAAAGGUGAGCCAGUACAGGAUGGACCCGCGUCUGAUUAGCUAGUUGGUAAGGUAACGGCUUACCAAGGCGACGAUCAGUAGCCGACCUGAGAGGGUGAUCGGCCACAUUGGAACUGAGACACGGUCCAAACUCCUACGGGAGGCAGCAGUGGGGAAUAUUGCACAAUGGGCGAAAGCCUGAUGCAGCAACGCCGCGUGAGUGAUGAAGGCCUUCGGGUCGUAAAACUCUGUCCUCAAGGAAGAUAAUGACGGUACUUGAGGAGGAAGCCCCGGCUAACUACGUGCCAGCAGCCGCGGUAAUACGUAGGGGGCUAGCGUUAUCCGGAUUUACUGGGCGUAAAGGGUGCGUAGGCGGUCUUUCAAGUCAGGAGUGAAAGGCUACGGCUCAACCGUAGUAAGCUCUUGAAACUGGGAGACUUGAGUGCAGGAGAGGAGAGUGGAAUUCCUAGUGUAGCGGUGAAAUGCGUAGAUAUUAGGAGGAACACCAGUUGCGAAGGCGGCUCUCUGGACUGUAACUGACGCUGAGGCACGAAAGCGUGGGGAGCAAACAGGAUUAGAUACCCUGGUAGUCCACGCUGUAAACGAUGAGUACUAGGUGUCGGGGGUUACCCCCUUCGGUGCCGCAGCUAACGCAUUAAGUACUCCGCCUGGGAAGUACGCUCGCAAGAGUGAAACUCAAAGGAAUUGACGGGGACCCGCACAAGUAGCGGAGCAUGUGGUUUAAUUCGNAGCGCCCGGCUCAUAACCGGUAGGUCUGGGGUUCGAGUCCCUGAUGGCCCACCACAUUAAAUUAACUUAUGGUGGGUAUAGCUCAGUUGGUUAGAGCGCCAGAUUGUGGCUCUGGAGGUCGUGAGUUCGACUCUCAUUAUCCACCCCAACUUAUAUGGUCUAUUAGCUCAGUCGGUAGAGCACCUGACUUUUAAUCAGGGUGUCCCGCGUUCGAGUCGCGGAUAGAUCACCAAAAAGGCGGCGACAUAGCCAAGUGGUAAGGCAGUGGACUGCAACUCCUUGAUCCCCAGUUCGAAUCUGGGUGUCGCCUCCAAUAAAAUGCGCUCAUAGCUCAACUGGAUAGAGUGUCUGACUACGAAUCAGAAGGUUAGGGGUUCGAGUCCCUUUGGGCGCACCAUAUGAAUAGCGAGGGAUUAUAGCUCAGCUGGGAGAGCACCUGCCUUACAAGCAGGGGGUCACAGGUUCGAGCCCUGUUAAUCCCACCAGUGCAAACCUCUAGUAAAACUACUAGAGGUUUUAUUUUUGAUUGAAAAAGUUUUUAUAUUUAGGAGGUAAAAAAUUUGUAUAUAGUAAUAGGAAAUGAAAUAGUUGAUAGUGAAGAACUUAAAAUAAUUAUAGAUAAAAAUAGUGAAUUUAAAGUUGAAAAAGAUUUAAGUAAAAGCACAAAAAGAGAAGAUGUAAUAGCAUAUCAGUUAAGUAUAGAUUUAAAUUACCUAGAUUCUCUUAUAAAUGAGCAAUGUAAUUUAGCCAGUCUAUCUGAUGAAGAGAAAUUUGAUGAAUAUAUGACUUUGUCUGAUGAACUUGCACUGGAUUUAGAAGAGUUAAUGCCAAAAUAUACAAUAAUAAAUGCUAGAGCAUAUAAAUUAGACGAGGUAGAUGGAAUUGUAAAAAUAAUACUAGCUGUAGCGUAUGCAGAUUUAGGGCACUUAAAACUUUCUGAUGUAGUAAAGAGGCUAUCUAGACAAGUAGAUUAGGAUAUGAAUAUGAACUAUAUUAAAAAAAUGUAUAAAAUCUUACGUAAAGAUGAAAAUAAUUAUGUAAACAUAGAAAAAAACAGUAUAAAAUCAAGUCAAUUGUAGAAAUUUUCACAUAAAUUCAUCUGAAAUUCUAUAAAAAAUGCCUUAAUUUUAAUGAGGUAAAUCGAGUUUACACAGUCUAAAAAUUACUUAUAUUUAUAAAUUUAUCUUAUUAAUUAAGGAACUUUCUUAAACAUCUUCAAAAAUAAAGUAUUUUAGUCUAUAAUCUUUAAUAUUACACAAACAAUAAAGGAGAAGAAUAGAGUAUGCUUAAAAAGUUUAAUAAAAUACUAGUGGCUAAUAGAGGCGAAAUAGCUAUAAGAAUAUUUAGAGCCUGUUCAGAAUUGGGGAUAAAAAGUGUUGGUAUAUACAGUAAGGAAGAUAAGUAUGGAUUGUUUAGAACAAAAGCGGAUGAAUCAUAUUUGAUAGGAGAAGGUAAAGGGCCAAUAGAUGCAUAUUUAGAUAUGGAUGGAAUAAUAGACCUAGCAAAGAGAAAAAAAGUUGAUGCUAUACAUCCAGGAUAUGGUUUUCUAGCGGAGAAUGCAGAAUUUGCUCGUAAAUGUGAAGAGAAUGGAAUUACUUUUAUAGGACCAUCAUCUAAGGUAAUGAAUAUGAUGGGGGAUAAGAUUAACUCUAAAAAAAUCGCAAAAGAAGUUAAUGUUCAAACUAUACCAGGAGUAGAAAAAGCAAUAAGAAGUACUGAAGAAGCAAAGGAAGUUGCAAACAAAAUAGGAUAUCCUGUUAUGAUAAAAGCAUCUAAUGGCGGUGGCGGUAGAGGUAUGAGAAUUGUACAUCGCGAAGAAGACUUAGAGCUUGAAUAUGAAACUGCUUGUAGUGAAUCAAGAAAAGCUUUUGGAGAAGAUAUUAUAUUUAUAGAAAAAUAUAUAGCUGAUCCAAAACAUAUAGAAGUUCAAAUAUUAGGUGAUAAUUAUGGAAAUAUAGUUCACUUAUAUGAAAGAGAUUGUUCAGUUCAAAGAAGACAUCAAAAAAUAAUAGAAUAUGCACCAGCUUUUUCGUUAGAUGAUAAAGUAAGAAAAGAGAUAUGUGAAGAUGCAGUUAAGUUAUCAAAACAUGUGGGUUAUUCUAAUGCGGGAACAUUAGAAUUUUUAGUAGAUGCAAAUGGUGGGCAUUAUUUUAUAGAGAUGAACACAAGAGUACAGGUUGAACAUACUGUAACAGAGAUGGUUACAGGAAUAGAUAUAGUUCAAAGUCAAAUACUAAUAGCCCAAGGUUACAGCUUAGAUAGUGAAGAAAUUAAUAUAAAAUCACAAGAUGAUGUGGAAAUAAGAGGUUACUC
rnacentral:rRNA from 1 species